rnacentral:rRNA from 1 species
UCGAACGCUGGCGGCAUGGCUAAAACAUGCAAGUCGAACGCGAAAGGGGGCAACCCCGAGUAGAGUGGCGUAAGGGCGAGUAAUGCAUUUCUAACGUACCUCAGACUCGAGGAUAGCUCACCGAAAGGUGAAUUAAUACUCGAUGAUGCUCACGGGUUGUAUGACCUGUGUGCCAAAGGCUUGCUGGUCUGAGAGCGGGGAAUGUCCUAUCAGGUAGUUGGUGAGGGGUAACGGCUCACCAAGCCUAAGACGGGUAGCGGGUGUGAGAGCACGGCCCGCCGCAUCGGAACUGAGACACUGUCCGGACUCCUACGGGAGGCCGCAGUAACGAAUAUUCCACAAUGCGCGAAAGCGUGAUGGAGCGAUGCCGCGUGCAGGAUGAAGCCCCUCGGGGUGUAAACUGCUGUCAGGGUUUAACAAAAAAAUGAGUAGACCCAGAGGAAGAGACGGCUAACUCUGUGCCAGCAGCCACGGUAAUACAGAGGUCUCGAGCGUUGAUCGGAAUUAUUGGGCUUAAAGGGUGCGUAGGCGGCGCCGUAAGUGCCUUGUGAAAUCCCAUGGCUUAACCAUGGAAUUGCUCGGUAGACUGCGGCGCUUGAGGUUGGUAGGGGUCGCUGGAACUCUAGGUGGAGCGGUGAAAUGCGUAGAUAUCUAGAGGAACGCCAAAGGUGAAGACAAGCGACUUGGGCCAAUUCUGACGCUGAGGCACGAAAGCGUGGGUAGCGAACGGGAUUAGAUACCCCGGUAGUCCACGCCCUAAACGAUGUGCACUAGAUCGUGGAGGCUCUGACGCCCCCAUGGUCGAAGUUAAAAUGCUAAGUGCACCGCCUGGGGAGUACGGUCGCAAGGCUAAAACUCAAAGGAAUUGACGGGGGCUCAUACGAAGCGGUGGAGCAUGUGGCUCAAUUCGAAGCAACGCGAAGAACCUUAUCCUGGGCUUGACAUGUAUGGAUUAGGUACUGGAAACAGUACUGAGGCUCUCUGAGUACAACAUACACAGGUGCUGCAUGGCUGUCGUCAGCUCGUGCUGUGAAGUGUCGGGUUAAGUCCCUUAACGAGCGAAACCCCUAUCUCUAGUUGCUAACAGGUAAUGCUGAGGACUCUAGCGAGACUGCCGGGUGUCAAACCGGAGGAAGGUGGGGAUGACGUCAAGUCCUCAUGGCCCUUAUGCCCCAGGGCUGCACACGUGCUACAAUGGCAUCGAACAGAGCGACGCUAACACCGCAAGGUCACGCAAAAUCGCAUAAACGAUGCCCCAGUUCAGAUUGAGGGUCUGCAACUCGACCUCAUGAUAGUUGGAAUCGCUAGUAAUCGGGGAUCAGCUUACGCCCCGGAGUUGAAUAUGUUCCUGAGCCUUGUACACACCCGCCCGUCAAGUCAUGGGAGCCGGGAAUACCCGAAGUUCGCCUUAAUUCAAAGGUGCCCGACGGUAGGCUCGGUGACAUGGGACU